CCAUACAAGUGGCUCUUGUGGUUUUAUACUUCAUUAACACUUCAUUAACGUGCUUUCAUCUACUCACGUGAGACCAGGUUCAGCAAGAAGAAUCAGGACAGCAUCAAUCCUUAUGUGUACCUGCCCUUUGGGAAUGGACCCAGGAACUGCAUUGGUAUGAGGUUUGCCCUCAUGAGCAUGAAAGUUGCUCUUGUCAGAGUCCUGCAGAACUUCUCCUUCCAACCUUGUAAGGAAACUCAGAUCCCUUUAAAAUUAAGCAAACAAGCACUUCUUCAACCAGAAAACCCAAUCCUUCUAAAAGUUGUGUCCAGAGAUGAGAGCAUAAGUGGAGGAUGAUUUAUAGUGGUCUGUUAUGUUGUAUCCUGUGGACCAGAAACCAAUUCAUAUUGUGAUUGAAUCCAGCGAUGAAGAUUGCAGUAAUUUUGUGCACUCCUGCAGGAUUCUGGGUGUUCAUUGAGCUUGCUCAGCCCCUGUGCAGGUUAUCUUCUGUGGAAUAUAAUGCUGUAGUGACACAAAUCUAAGAUAAAUAUGGUAACUUCCUGGUUCUUGGGGGACUGCCUAUGUUCACUUCAUUGUUACCACCAAAUACUCUGAUUUCUUACGAUAAAAUAAACACCAAUUACUAGUUUUAUCAACAAUUA